CAUUGUGAAUUGGAAUCUGAAGGAAGUCGGCGGCAAACAUCUGGCCUGACGCACAGAAACUUGAUAUUAAGGCCUAUGAGUGUGGAUAAGUCUGCUGAAAAAGACAAAGUCCAAUAGCUAUUCGGAACACUCGGGGUAAAUCUAGCAGGUAUAAGAUGGAAAGAAU
rnacentral:ncRNA from 1 species